CCUACGGGUGGCAGCAGUGGGGAAUAUUGGGCAAUGGAGGCAACUCUGACCCAGCAACGCCGCGUGAAUGAUGAAGGUCUUCGGAUUGUAAAGUUCUGUGAGGGGGGAUGAACACAAUGACGGUACCCCACUAGCAAGCCACGGCUAACGACGUGCCAGCAGCCGCGGUAAUACGUAGGAGGCAAGCGUUAUCCGGAAUGACUGGGCGUAAAGGGUGCGUAGGUGGUUUAGUAAGUUGGCGGUGUAAUUCCGGGGCUCAACCUCGGCGCUACCGCCAAAACUAGUAGACGAGAGUGCAGGAGGGGUAAGUGGAAUUCCUGGUGUAGCGGUGGAAUGCGUAGAGAUUAGGAGGAACACCAGGGGCGAAGGCGACUUACUGGACUGUAACUGACACUGAGGCACGAAAGCGUGGGGAGCAAACAGGAUUAGAUACCCGGGUAGUC
rnacentral:rRNA from 1 species